rnacentral:rRNA from 1 species
GCUUGAGCACGUAGGUGGGUUUGUAAGUCAGAUGUGAAAGCCUUCUGUUCAACGGAAGAAUUGCAUCUGAAACUGCGAGUCUUGAGUGUAGGAGGGGAGAAUGGAACUUCUGGUGGAGCGGUGAAAUGCGUAGAUAUCAGAAGGAACGCCGGCGGCGAAAGCGAUUCUCUGGCCUAUUACUGACACUCAGUGUGCGAAAGCCAGGGGAGCAAACGGGAUUAGAUACCCCGGUAGUCCUAGCCGUAAACGAUGGGCACUAAGUAGAGGGAAUUACCGAUGUUCCCUCUGCCGUAGCUAACGCAUUAAGUGCCCCGCCUGGGGAGUACGGCCGCAAGGCUAAAACUCAAAAGAAUUGACGGGGGCUCGCACAAGCGGUGGAGCAUGUGGCUUAAUUCGAUGCAACGCGAAGAACCUUACCGGGGCUUGACAUAGUAGAAGUAGGAACCCGAAAGGGUAACGAACGGUAUCCAGUCCGUAACUAUCACAGGUGUUGCAUGGCUGUCGUCAGCUCGUGUCGUGAGACGUUGGGUUAAGUCCCCUAACGAGCGAAACCCUUGUUUUUAGUUACCAGCGGGUUAUGCCGGGUACUCUAGAAAGACUGCCGUCGUCAAGACGGAGGAAGGUGGGGAUGACGUCAAGUCAUCAUGGCCCUUAUGCCCCGGGCUGCACACGUGCUACAAUGGUCGGUACAAACGGAAGCGAAGCCGAGAGGUGAAGCGAAUCCAAGC